rfam:Amazona aestiva scaffold_152, whole genome shotgun sequence.
CUAGGAGAACCGAAAACAGUUCAGGACUGACCUGCGGUUUUACAGCACUUUGGCAGUCAACUUCAGCUUGUGUCAGAGCAGACAUGACAGAGCUGCCCAGAGCUUAAUCGCCGGUCACCACAUCCUCGGGCACACUGCAGCGCACCCCCCCCCCCCUUUCGGCGGCUGUGGCUGCGGCGCCGUGCAAGGCUCUGCCGUGACAGAAGUCGGG